rnacentral:lncRNA from 1 species
CGGCCGGGCUGACCGCGGCGGCCGUGGCGGCGGCGCUGGUGCUGCCCGAGGUCGCGGAGGCCGCGUCCCCGGGGCUGUCCCCGUCGCUCAAGAACUUCCUGCUCAGCAUCGUGUCCGGCGGGGUCGUCUUCGCCGGCAUCGCCGGGGCCGUCGUCGCCGUCUCCAACUUCGACCCCGUCAAGAGGACCUGAUCAUCUCGCUGGAUUCUCAGGGCUCGCUUUGUAUCUCGAUAAAUCUCUUGCUGUGUUUUAUUCGGAGACUCUGUACGUAGAGGAGAUCCAUGACAAUGGAGUUCUGAUUAAUGGCUGUGUAUACUCUGGUUCGUCUGCUUAAACUCAUGCUUGCGGGCUGUAUCCAGUAAUUGGAUGUUUGUUUACUUCCGAACCUACUUCCCC